ACCCCUGUUAGGGGAGUGAAAUAGAACCUGAAACCGUGUGCAUACAAGCAGUCGGAGCGGACUUGUUCCGUGACGGCGUACCUUUUGUAUAAUGGGUCAGCGACUUAUAUUCUGUAGCAAGGUUAACCGAAUAGGGGAGCCGUAGGGAAACCGAGUCUUAAUAGGGCGAAUGAGUUGCAGGGUAUAGACCCGAAACCGAGUGAUCUAUCCAUGAGCAGGUUGAAAGUGCCGUAACAGGCACCGGAGGACCGAACCCACUGUCGUUGAAAAGCCAGGGGAUGACUUGUGGAUAGGGGUGAAAGGCUAAUCAAACUCGGUGAUAGCUGGUUCUCCCCGAAAGCUAUUUAGGUAGCGCCUCGGACGAACACCAUUGGGGGUAGAGCACUGUUUCGGCUAGGGGGUCAUCCCGACUUACCAAACCGAUGCAAACUCCGAAUACCGAUGAGUGAUAUCCGGGAGACAGACGGCGGGUGCUAACGUCCGUCGUCAAGAGGGAAACAACCCAGACCGCCAGCUAAGGCCCCAAAUUCCUAGUUAAGUGGGAAACGAUGUGGGAAGGCACAGACAGCUAGGAGGUUGGCUUAGAAGCAGCCACCCUUUAAAGAAAGCGUAAUAGCUCACUAGUCGAGUCGGCCUGCGCGGAAGAUGUAACGGGGCUCAAACUAGGAGCCGAAGCUGCGGAUUUAAUUGUUUCAAUUAAGUGGUAGGGGAGCGUUGUGUAAGCCUGUGAAGGUGCACUGUAAGGUGUGCUGGAGGUAUCACAAGAGCGAAUGCUGACGUGAGUAACGACAAAACGGGUGAAAAGCCCGUUCGCCGGAAGACCAAGGGUUCCAGUCCAACGUUAAUCGGGGCUGGGUGAGUCGACCCCUAAGGCGAGGCCGAAAGGCGUAGUCGAUGGGAAAUCGGUUAAUAUUCCGAUACUUGUUUAUGAUGCGAUGGAGGGACGGAGAAGGUUAUGCCAGCCUGGCGAUGGUUGUCCAGGUGGAAGGAUGUAGUUAGACUGAGUAGGCAAAUCCGCUCGGUUAUUAAUGAGAUCUGAUAGCAAGCCAGUUUACUGGCGAAGUGGCAAAUACCCUGCUUCCAGGAAAAGCUUCUAAGCGAUAGUCAUAAACGAAUCGUACCCGAAACCGACACAGGUGGUCAGGUAGAGAAUACCAAGGCGCUUGAGAGAACUCUGCUGAAGGAACUAGGCAAAAUGGUACCGUAACUUCGGGAGAAGGUACGCUGCCGAUGGUGAUGAAACUUGCUUUCUGAGCUGUUGGCAGUCGCAGAUACCAGGCUGCUGCAACUGUUUAUUAAAAACACAGCACUCUGCAAACACGAAAGUGGACGUAUAGGGUGUGAUGCCUGCCCGGUGCUGGAAGGUUAAUUGAUGGGGUUAGCGUAAGCGAAGCUCUUGAUCGAAGCCCCAGUAAACGGCGGCCGUAACUAUAACGGUCCUAAGGUAGCGAAAUUCCUUGUCGGGUAAGUUCCGACCUGCACGAAUGGCAUAAUGAUGGCAGCGCUGUCUCCAGCAGAGACUCAGUGAAAUCGAAAUCGCAGUGAAGAUGCUGUGUACCCGCGGCUAGACGGAAAGACCCCGUGAACCUUUACUACAGCUUUACAUUGAACUUUGACCUAACUUGUGUAGGAUAGGUGGGAGGCUUUGAAGCAGAUACGCCAGUAUCUGUGGAGCCAACCUUGAAAUACCACCCUGGUUAUGUUGGGGUUCUAACUUGGAUAUAACAGUAUCAAGGACAAUGUAUGGUGGGUAGUUUGACUGGGGCGGUCUCCUCCUAAAGAGUAACGGAGGAGUACGAAGGUGCGCUCAGAACGGUCGGAAAUCGUUCAAAGAGUAUAAAGGCAAAAGCGCGCUUAACUGCGAGACCCACAAGUCGAGCAGGUACGAAAGUAGGUCUUAGUGAUCCGGUGGUUCUGUAUGGAAGGGCCAUCGCUCAACGGAUAAAAGGUACUCUGGGGAUAACAGGCUGAUACCGCCCAAGAGUUCAUAUCGACGGCGGUGUUUGGCACCUCGAUGUCGGCUCAUCUCAUCCUGGGGCUGAAGCAGGUCCCAAGGGUAUGGCUGUUCGCCAUUUAAAGAGGUACGCGAGCUGGGUUUAGAACGUCGUGAGACAGUUCGGUCCCUAUCUACCGUGGGCGUUGGAAAUUUGAGAGGAUCUGCUCCUAGUACGAGAGGACCAGAGUGGACGAACCUCUGGUGUUUCGGUUGUCACGCCAGUGGCAUUGCCGAGUAGCUACGUUCGGAUGGGAUAACCGCUGAAAGCAUCUAAGCGGGAAGCCCACCUCAAGAUAAGAUUUCCCUAAGAGCCGUUGU
rnacentral:rRNA from 1 species